rnacentral:rRNA from 1 species
CCUACGGGGGGCUGCAGUGGGGAAUAUUGGACAAUGGGCGAAAGCCUGAUCCAGCCAUGCCGCGUGUGUGAAGAAGGCCUUCGGGUUGUAAAGCACUUUCAGUGGGGAAGAAGGCCUUGGGGCUAAUACCCUCGAGGAAGGACAUCACCCACAGAAGAAGCACCGGCUAACUCCGUGCCAGCAGCCGCGGUAAUACGGAGGGUGCGAGCGUUAAUCGGAAUUACUGGGCGUAAAGCGCGCGUAGGCGGUCUGAUAAGCCGGUUGUGAAAGCCCCGGGCUCAACCUGGGAACGGCAUCCGGAACUGUCAGGCUAGAGUGCAGGAGAGGAAGGUAGAAUUCCCGGUGUAGCGGUGAAAUGCGUAGAGAUCGGGAGGAAUACCAGUGGCGAAGGCGGCCUUCUGGACUGACACUGACGCUGAGGUGCGAAAGCGUGGGUAGCAAACAGGAUUAGAUACCCCAGUAGUC